rnacentral:rRNA from 1 species
GACGAACGCUGGCGGCGUGCCUAAUACAUGCAAGUCGAACGCAUUUUCUUUCACCGUAGCUUGCUACACCGAAAGAAAAUGAGUGGCGAACGGGUGAGUAACACGUGGGUAACCUGCCCAUCAGCGGGGGAUAACACUUGGAAACAGGUGCUAAUACCGCAUAAUUCCAUUUACCGCAUGGUAGAUGGAUGAAAGGCGCUUUUGCGUCACUGAUGGAUGGACCCGCGGUGCAUUAGCUAGUUGGUGGGGUAACGGCCUACCAAGGCUGCGAUGCAUAGCCGACCUGAGAGGGUGAUCGGCCACACUGGGACUGAGACACGGCCCAGACUCCUACGGGAGGCAGCAGUAGGGAAUCUUCGGCAAUGGACGCGAGUCUGACCGAGCAACGCCGCGUGAGUGAAGAAGGUUUUCGGAUCGUAAAACUCUGUUGUUAGAGAAGAACAAGGAUGAGAGUGGAAAGUUCAUCCCUUGACGGUAUCUAACCAGAAAGCCACGGCUAACUACGUG